rnacentral:rRNA from 1 species
UUUAAAUUGAGAGUUUGAUCCUGGCUCAGGACGAACGCUGGCGGCGUGCCUAACACAUGCAAGUCGAGCGAUGAAACCUUUCGGGGUGGAUUAGCGGCGGACGGGUGAGUAACACGUGGGUAACCUGCCUCAAAGAGGGGAAUAGCCUCCCGAAAGGGAGAUUAAUACCGCAUAAUAUGUUUUGGUCGCAUGAUCGAAACAUCAAAGGAUUUU